UACAGAGGUCUCAAGCGUUGUUCGGAUUCAUUGGGCGUAAAGGGUGCGUAGGUGGCGAGGCAAGUCUGGUGUGAAAUCCCGGGGCUCAACCCCGGAACUGCACUGGAUACUGCUUUGCUAGAGUACUGGAGAGGAGACUGGAAUUUACGGUGUAGCAGUGAAAUGCGUAGAUAUCGUAAGGAAGGCCAGUGGCGAAGGCGAGUCUCUGGACAGUUACUGACGCUGAGGCACGAAGGCCAGGGGAGCAAACGGG
rnacentral:rRNA from 1 species